AUUUACAAUGGUUGCCAUUAGCUU
rnacentral:siRNA from 1 species